UCACUGAAAUGAACCAAUAGCAGUGGAUUUCAGCGAAACCCCAUAUAGGAGCUCAUCCUUGUGGAGUCCUGGAUUUAAAGCGGCAGAAUUCAUUCACCACGUUCAGAAAGGGGAAAAAAAGAGAAAAAAAGCAAGCAUUGACACGUGGGCAGGGCGGGGAUUGGCAACGUCACAGAUUCGGUACCGAAUUCCUUGUAGUCGGGCCUUCCCACACGUGAGUCGCACACGAGGAUCAGAGUCUGACAUUCCUGACGAGUUCUGGAAACCCAAGUGCUUCUAAUGUGAGGAAAAACACGCAAUGACAAGUGUGGAAAAGAGCAAGCACUAAAUUACUGUCAGAAAAAUAAACGGAGUAGCACACUGCUGCACGGUGAUUUACGGGGGCAAUUAGUCACCGCCCCAUGGAGCUGCUGAGAACAGCACUGCUGCAGAAGUGUCAGGCAGAGGAAGAAGAGGCUGGGCUUUGCACUCCAGACAACUUUUCAAACAACAAGAAAGCAUCUGAACAGACUGUGCACCAUAUCUUCACAUCCUGUGCCCACCCUUCAUAUUUUCCCAAGAACAUGAAAGUAUUUUUAGCACAAUCUAUUAACCUGCCCUCUGUGGGUGAGAGAGAGGGAGAAGGAGAGAGAGAGAAUCUGUGUGUGAACGUGUGUAAAAAGUCUCAAACUCCAGCUGUUUCUCCCUCAGGGUUCAAUGUGGGGUUUUUUUUUCCCUUUCUCUUUCUAAAAAAUUGUCUUCACCCCAUAUCCCCCCCCACCCGGCGUGUGCCUUAAGUUUAUCCAGUGCUGUCUUGCCUGACGUGAGCCUUAAGUUUAUCCAGCGUUGUCUUGCCUGACACUGGGUUCUGCAUAAACCCAGAAGAAAAUCUGAGUAACAUCCAGUCACUGUGCUCUCAGGAAAUUGGAGUAGUCUGCAAAUCUCUGACAAUCUGGCUUGCAGGUGCUGGAAAUGAUUAAAGAGGCAGCAAAAUAAAGGUUAAAUGAAAAAAAAA